rnacentral:rRNA from 1 species
CCUACGGGAGGGCAGCAGUGGGGAAUUUUGCGCAAUGGGGGAAACCUUGACGCAGCAACGCCGCGUGGGUGAUGAAGGCCUUCGGGUCGUAAAGCCCUGUCAGGUGGGAAGAAACAUAUCGGUGCUAAUAUCACCGAUGUUUGACGGUACCGCCGGAGGAAGCACCGGCUAACUCCGUGCCAGCAGCCGCGGUAAUACGGAGGGUGCAAGCGUUGUUCGGAAUUACUGGGCGUAAAGCGCGUGUAGGCGGUCGGGCAAGUCAGAUGUGAAAGCCUUCCGCUUAACGGAAGAAGUGCAUUUGAAACUACCCGGCUGGAGUACGGGAGAGGAGAGUGGAAUUCCCGGUGUAGAGGUGAAAUUCGUAGAUAUCGGGAGGAACACCAGUGGCGAAGGCGGCUCUCUGGUCCGAUACUGACGCUGAGACGCGAAAGCGUGGGGAGCAAACAGGAUUAGAUACCCUGGUAGUCCACGCCGUAAACGAUGGGCACUAGGUGUAGGAGGUAUUGACCCCUUCUGUGCCGAAGUUAACGCAUUAAGUGCCCCGCCUGGGGAGUACGGCCGCAAGGCUAAAACUCAAAGGAAUUGACGG